AUUCUUGGUCAUUUUAGAGGAAGUAAAAGUCGUAACAAGGUUUCCGUAGGUGAACCUGCGGAAGGAUCAUUACCAAUUCGAUAGGUGCCUCGGGGUUUUCCAACCCCGUGGCACUUUCAACCAACCCUGGACCGUGUACAAGUCUCCUGAAUUAUAUUAUGUAUAUAAUAAAUAAAAGAUCACUUUCAACAACGGAUCUCUUGGCUCUCGCAUCGAUGAAGAACGUAGCGAAGUGCGAUAAGUAAUGUGAAUUGCAGAAUUCCGUGAAUCAUCGAAUCUUUGAACGCAAAUUGCACUCUCUGGCAACCCGGGGAGUAUGCCUGUUUGAGGGUCAGUGUUAAUAAAAAUCGGGUUCGUUGCAAUUUUUGUGACGUUUCCGGAGUUUGAGUUAUCUUAACCUUCGGUUUUAAGAGGCUUAAAAUUGACCCUUUUUUGUGCAUUUUAGACGUACAUAAAUUUUUUUUUUAUUCGUCCAUCCUAAUGCCAAAAUCUAUUAGAUGCGACCAUAUCUUGUGGUUCCGUGUCUAUAAAUUUUUCAUGAUUUGACCUCAAAUCAGGUAGGAACACCCGCUGAACUUAAGCAUAUCAAUAAGCGGAGGAAAAGAAAAUAACAAUGAUUCCCCUAGUAACUGCGAGUGAAGAGGGACAAGCUCAAAUUUUAAAUCUGUCGGGUUUUACCUGAUCGAGUUGUAAUU
rnacentral:misc_RNA from 1 species